UGGUCCUCCGACUAUUAGCUAAUAAUUGAUUUAGUUCCAAACUAUUAAAAGUACUCAAUUUAGUCCUCUGACUUUUAAAACGGUACACAAUGUGGUCCUUCGUUACAAUUGCCCUGUUUCCACCGUUAUUUAGAAGUGCAAAGAAGUAUUUUAUUAUAUCAAGCAAAUUCCUUCCUCUUAAAAUGAACUUGCUUCCAAAACAAUACACCUUACCUCCUCUGCCUUAGAUUCACGCCAUUUGCAGAAGAGCAUGUCGCUGCUAAGGAGGAUGCAAAACAGGGAGACUUCUUCAUCAUCCUCUAGUCGAAGAAAGACCAUUCUCGGAUUGUUGAAGAGGGUGAACCAAAAUGAAGAAGAAAUUGAGAGGCUCAAAGAAUUAUUACGAAGUGGUGAUAGUCCAUAAAAAAAUAUUGUAAUGGCAAAUGACUCAAAUGGUGCAAAUGGUUCAAAGCAUUGUUCUUGGUAGCAAAAGGAGUAGUAAUGAUUAAUGUCAUGGCAAAGAAAUGUGAAAAACCUAGUGAUCUGUAUAGGUUGCCAUAAAAUUAUGUAAUUGCUCACUAUUUCGUAUUUACAAUGCUCACUAUAUAAUGUAACUUUCAUUCCA